CUCUGAACCUCAGAUCAGGCGAGAUCACCCGCUGAAUUUAAGCAUAUCAAUAA
rnacentral:rRNA from 1 species